UACGUAGGUGGCAAGCGUUAUCCGGAUUUACUGGGUGUAAAGGGCGUGUAGGCGGGGACGCAAGUCAGAUGUGAAAACCACGGGCUCAACCUGUGGCCUGCAUUUGAAACUGUGUUUCUUGAGUACUGGAGAGGCAGACGGAAUUCCUAGUGUAGCGGUGAAAUGCGUAGAUAUUAGGAGGAACACCAGUGGCGAAGGCGGUCUGUUGGACAGCAACUGACGCUGAGGCGCGAAAGCGUGGGGAGCAAACAGG
rnacentral:rRNA from 1 species